rnacentral:rRNA from 1 species
UACGGAGGGAGCUAGCGUUGUUCGGAAUUACUGGGCGUAAAGCGCGCGUAGGCGGCUUUGUAAGUUAGAGGUGAAAGCCCGGAGCUCAACUCCGGAACUGCCUUUAAAACUGCAUCGCUUGAAUCCAGGAGAGGUGAGUGGAAUUCCGAGUGUAGAGGUGAAAUUCGUAGAUAUUCGGAGGAACACCAGUGGCGAAGGCGGCUCACUGGCUCGACACUGACGCUGAGGUGCGAAAGCGUGGGGAGCAAACAGG